UGAGAAACGAAAUAUUUAUGGAUGGAAUUGGGUCACAAGUUCAAGGAUGGGUUUGGAGAACCGUCUUUGUAUUGUAUUUAUCAGAAAUCUGGGUCAGGAGGGUCUGGCUUUUUUUGAGAAUGGGGAGAAAGUUGAGUCUGGUCGGUGACUGGGAUUCAAUGUCUACUUGACAAAUAGUUUAGAAUGAGAUGUGCUACCUUGAACUAAAUAAGAAUGCCAGGAUGAAACGCCACAGUUAAAUGUAUGACAGGUGGGUUAAAAAUGAAUGUACUGCAAAUAAUCCGGUGUGGUCACGCGGCUGUAAAUUUCUUGGUGUUAAUUUGGUCUAAAUAUGCCACAAUUCGGUAUAAAUUUUUCACCAGUUUGGUGUAACUGUGUCACCAUGUGGUAUAAAUUCGUCUCCAUGACGGUGCUAAUGAUUAACACCACGGUGGGGAAGGCUUGUAUGUAUGCUCGGUGUUGAAUUAGCACCGGAUUUUUAGAAGUGUACACUCUAAGAAACUGGGUGAUAGCGGCGAUCACCGCGCGAACGGAGAUAGCGAGUAUCACCGUCAUGGUGAUACAUUUGUCACCAAAAUCUAUCACCACUCCUGGUGAUAGCCACUACCACCGUUCCAUGGUGAUACCGUCUCUGCACGUGACUCUCGGAGUGGCGAGUUUGUCCUACUCCACGCACUAAACAAUGCAGCAGAACAGCAGUGAAUUUGUAGAAGUGCCAGAAUUACUUCGUAUUUCUUGUUUUCUAAGAGGAAAAAAUAAAUACUCGCGCCUGAAUAUUUGUAAAGUUAUUGACAUAGGUAAAAAAUUAAAAAAAUCGAAAUUUUGACCAAUUUUAUCAACCUAAAUUUUGUUUCCUUUCUACUACCGAGAAAAUAUAGGUUGGACACCAAUAUACGCCCGAAGGACGAAGUGUUUAUUUCCUGACGUCAUGCCGUCAUCCCCGUUAAUUAUGGUGACUCAUAAGCAAUAAUUUCUUAUUACUUGGACUGGGUCCUCGCAGUACAUGAGGCCAUCCAUACUUUAAUCGAUGUCAGCCAAGAAAAAUUGAGCCAGCAGCUUCGGUAUUAAUGAAAACAGUCUGGGGAAAGUUUGUCUUCAAAGGGUAAAGUAAAAAAAAAAGUAAUUAUGGGUUUUACAUACCUACUCUGUUCGCAUAAAGUGUUACUGGGAUAAACAGGAACCGCUUUUUCAAUGUUGGGAAUUUAAAUUUUAUUUUUAUUUCAUUGAAAAGCCAGUUAAAUUUUGAACAGAAAACAUGUGUCACACUUCAAAAUUUAUCCCCCCUACGUAGAUAAAGUUUUGAACUCGCGAACGCCAAGCACCCU